UUAAUUGUUAAUUAGUAGCAUGUAUUAGUGGGUUAGCUGUUGACUAAGACAGGCACUCUGUGGGAUGGUCUCUCUGGAGUGGCUCUGGUUUCAACAUGCAGGGAGCUCUGGGACAGCAUUGCAAGGAGCUUGGAGACCAUGGUACCUAAUACAGGACCAUCUUUACCAGCUGUAACAAGAAUAACUGGACCAAGAAGCAAUGACAGAUGAAGGGAGCUUGGAGACCAGAGUGGCUGAGAUGGGAGCUUUUGAACUCUGAUGCUUUGAUUUCUGGCUGUGGCUGAACCUGAUCACAGUCAGGAACCUCUGAAGAAGUAAUGGACAUGGCAGACACCUCUGGGCCUGGAUAGAGAUGACUGAGAGACUGGAGCCCAGGGUUGCUGUUGACUUUACAGGAACCUCAGAGGAGGCAAUGACACCACUGGGGUGCCUAUGACAGGUGUGGAGCAGCCAUGGCAAGAACCUCUUUAGUAUCUUAAGCUUGCUUGUUGACAGAGAAUAAAAGAGAGCUCUGGCAUUUAGACAGCGGAGGCAGGAAGCUCAGGAAUGGAGUGGCCAUGAUGGGAAAAACAAAAGAAGUAUGUACAUGUAUACAAUAUGUACACAUCCCUCCAAAAGCAGUACUGCCAGACGCUAAUAUUGCUUCCUCAAGCCAAGGUGCAAGACGCUACACAAGGCUUGCUCGACCCGCAAGACGCAAAGGCGAGAGGAGGGAUGGAAGCGUCUCCCGCUGCAGCCUGCAAGACGCAAAGCUGCACGAGAGACACCAGAUGAAUGGUCUUAUGAGACGACCUGAAACAAAACAGAAAAGAACAGAUCCCACCUUUUGACAGGCCGGGUUUGGACCAGCGCUUGUAGUGUAGCAGGAACAGGUCAUAGUCACUAGGUAAGCGUCCACACAACAAUUCGAACAUCACCAUCCCUAGUGACCAGACUGUCGCUGGCCCGCCAUAGUACUUCCCCCUGCUGUGAUACUCUGGAGGGGAGUACACUGCUGUGCCUGGAGGAGAGGACAUUGUAUGAUGUGCUUCCACCGUGACGUCUUUUGAAAUCCACGAGAUUCUCACAGGGAGAGGGACAUUCGAGGACCAUGACGAAGUGGUCAGGGUGGUCCGUCCAGUCCAGUAACUUGAUUAUUUGCGGCACACUGGGACCUUUAUUCGCCAGGAUGAUUAUCCUGCAGACGUGUCCCUUCAUACACCACACCAAAACCACCUUUGCCCAGCUGAUCGCCCACAGUGUAACGGCUGAAGAUGUAGUCUAUUAAAAGUAACAAUUUCACAUGGACUCAGCGCCUUGUAAUGUGAGAUGCUUUAUUUAUUUUAAACUUUUUUUAAUAUAUUAUUCAUUGUAAUGACUUGAUAGAGACUAUCUUGAAUAUUUAUAGUUUUAACAUGUAUUAGUACAAAGACAUAUAAAAAUAAUGUUUUAACAUGUUCUGGAAUAAAGAUCUGAC